AAAUCAAAUACAAACUUAGAAUUAGAAUUUGAAUUUAAAUUUGAAUCCAAACUCAAAAUUUAAAUUUAAAAUUUAAAUCUUAAAUUAAAAAUCCUUCUUGGAAUUUAUAAUUUAAUUCAAAAUAUAAUUUAAAUUUAAAUUUUAAAUUUGAUAGUAUAAAAUUCAAAUUAAAAUUGUAUAAUUAACUAGUGCUGACACGGCACCUUCGUGGUGCUGAGAUGUGGUAUUUUUCGUCAAUUUUAAUAUCUUUCUGACAGCUUAGAUAUAAUUGUAAUGAAAUUAAGUGAUUGAAAAAAAAAUUGAGG
rnacentral:lncRNA from 1 species